GGGGUGCCUACGAGAGUAGGCCGCAGUGAAUAGGCUCAAGCAACUGUUUAUCAAAAACACAGGUCUCUGCUAAAGCGUAAGCUGAUGUAUAGGGGCUGACGCCUGCCCGGUGCUGGAAGGUUAAGGGGAUUAGUUAGCGCAAGCGAAGCUAUGAACUUAAGCCCCAGUAAACGGCGGCCGUAACUAUAACGGUCCUAAGGUAGCGAAAUUCCUUGUCGGGUAAGUUCCGACCCGCACGAAUGGCGUAAUGAUUUGAGCACUGUCUCGGCAAUAAAUCCGGUGAAAUUGUAGUGCAAGUGAAGAUGCUUGCUACCCGCGGUUGGACGGAAAGACCCCGUAGAGCUUUACUGUAGCUUAGCAUUGAAUUUCGGUAUUGUCUGUACAGGAUAGGUGGGAGACUUAGAAGCGAGGGCGUCAGCUUUCGUGGAGUCGUCCUUGGGAUACCACCCUGACAGUACUGGAAUUCUAACUGGAGGCCAUGAAUCUGGUCACAGGACAUUGCUAGG
rnacentral:rRNA from 1 species